rnacentral:rRNA from 1 species
GACGAACGCUGGCGGCGGGCCUAAUACAUGCAAGUAGAACGCAGUUGCGAACGGGGGAGUAACGCGUAGGUAAAGGCCGCAGAGCGGGGGAGAACCAUUGGAAACGAUAGCUAAAACCGCAUACUGUGAGAGGGACCUGCGUUGAAUUAGCUAGUUGGUGAGGUAAAGGCUCACCAAGGCGACGAUACAUAGCCGACCUGAGAGGGUGAUCAGCCACACUGGGACUGAGACACGGCCCAGACUCCUACGGGAGGCAGCAGUAGGGAAUCUUCUGCAAUGGACGGAAGUCUGACCGAGCCACGCCGCGUGAGUGAAGAAGGUUUUCGGAUCGUAAAGCUCUGUUAUUAGGGAAGCGUUAUCUGACCAGAAAGCCCCGGCUAACUACGUGCCAGCAGCCGCGGUAAUUC